GAAGACUCAGAUGCCACUUUGGGGAGAGUCUGCCGCACACUCUCUGCAGCUGCCGAGGACUUGAACACUAAGUCCUUUAGCCUCAUCCUGCCCUGCCUGGGAGCUUUGGUGUGUGGGGAAUACUGGAGUUUGUCAAGAACCAUUUUAUUCUGAUGUAAUUACCAUAAAUAUUUGGGGCUCAAAGACAGAGAAAAACCACCGGACUGCAGGGUGCUGAUGGUGGUGGAGGGGAGGAGCCCCCUGAGUUCUCUUGGCGCCUGAUGCCAGGGCAGGAGCAGGAGCAGGUGUCACUGGCACAAGACAGGUGCUGUUGAGGCACGUGGAGCGAUGUGGAAAACAUGCCCAGAGACCUCAGAGACCGGUGAGCCUCAAGGAUCUGAUGUGGCACCUGAGGAGUGUUUGACACACUGAGCGAGCCUGGCGCUCAGAUUCAGCUGUGUGCUCUGUGUGUCCAGCCCCCAUAACUAAGAUGUGGAGCCUCCACUUUUGUGAGAACUAGAUUUUCUCACUUAUUCCUCAAGAGAGGAAGUGUAAGUUCGAUCAGUCAUUGAGUCUGUACACCCACUUACAUCUCUGAAAAGACUGACAGCAAGAGGAUUACGGAAACAAAUCAUGGUUCCUAAUGCUGUAGCUUGUCCUACAACUGGUUCUCAUCAUCCUCUCGAUUCACCAUCGGUUCUAGAUUCCCUGUUACUCAGCCAUCACUGAUCUGGCCAGGAUGAUUUGCCUGAUGGUCGACGCAGCUCUUUACCCUCAUGGGAUAUUACCUUGCUCCUAUUUGGGCUGUGGCACCUGCAGUUGCCCGUUUAUCAUUCUUACGGGCACACGGAAUCACCAAGACAUGACCCGUGUGGCUUCUGAAUUCUAAACAUGCUCUUCCCUGACCAUCGUGUACAAGAGACCUAGAACUUCCUGUUGAUGGAGGCUGAUGGUUUCUCCCAAAGAACUGAGACUUCCAACCUGUGGAGUCAGAGGCUGCAGGGAAGAGAAGCACAGAUCCUACAAGCGGGGCACUGGAGAGAUGAUGCUGGCAGAAGACACAAGACUCUUAGAUCAGAGACAGACUUUCCUCAGCACAGCAAGCAGCACGAUGGGCAUCAGUUGCCUGGUCUCAAGCGUCCUGGAGGUGAGACAGAAGGCCGGGUAGCAUGCGGGAGCUGUGCAUCACGACGGAGGAAUACUCACCUCGGGGAAGCUGUUGUUUUAUAGUCAGCAUUAAACACACCUCGUCUCUGUCCUGGGGGAGACGUUGCCUCAUCCCCCAAGGCUGAUGCUCCAAGCACAGCCCUGAGAAAUGGCCGGGGAAGAGCUAUGAGGACUUGGCUUUCUGGGCACACCCAGGAAGAAUGUGCAGGGGUGCUAGGGGCUAUGGCAGACGCCCUGUCCCAAUGACACCAAACCUCUUAACCUCAAGUUCAUGUGCCCAACAUGCAGCAAGCCAAACACUGAGUCAUCGGUGCUUCGAGAUGAAGAAAGGUUUAUUCAAAUUGGCCAAAACGAGAAGGUGGGAGCCUGGGUUCUCUCAAAUCCGCCUCCCCAGGAACAGAGAGCCGGGGUUUGAGGUAAGAGGCUUGACAGGAGGAGCUUCGGAGAAACAAAGGGGUCACCCCGACAAGCCCCUCAGCAGUCUGAUUUCUGGGCGUCAACAGCUGCGGGGGGCCAGCCAUCCGGGGGUGGCAACCUCCCCAAAGGCAUUCUCUUUCUUCUGCAAAACAAGCUCACGAAUCCUCGAGACCCGAGUCACACCUUAAGUUGAACAAGAAAACAGCAAAUUGACGAGAUUCAUCCGUGUCUGUGCUGGGAACAAGGUCAAAAGGCGAUCAAGAUCUUAUUGAAUAUCUACAGUGACCCUCUGGCACCCCGUUUCACUAACAAGGACAAAUCCUUGCCUCCUCCAAGGCAGAAGGGGCCAACAUUACCAACUUGCUACCAAGUGGCUGUGGCCUCCUUGAGGAGUGGUUGCAGUGAGGGCUCAGCACCCACUGCUGCUGCCGGAGGUCAGGCCUUCACCAGCAGAGGAGCCGGAUUAAGCCAUGUGAGAGGGA